AUUUAUAUAGUUUAAACAAAACAUUACACUUUCACUGUAAAGACAAAGAAACCUUUUAUAAAUA
rnacentral:tRNA from 1 species